rnacentral:rRNA from 1 species
UUUUAUUUGAGAGUUUGAUCCUGGCUCAGGAUGAACGCUGGCGGCGUGCCUAACACAUGCAAGUUGAGCGAUUUACUUCGGUAAAGAGCGGCGGACGGGUGAGUAACGCGUGGGUAACCUACCCUGUACACACGGAUAACAUACCGAAAGGUAUGCUAAUACGGGAUAAUAUAUUUGAGAGGCAUCUCUUGAAUAUCAAAGGUGAGCCAGUACAGGAUGGACCCGCGUCUGAUUAGCUAGUUGGUAAGGUAACGGCUUACCAAGGCGACGAUCAGUAGCCGACCUGAGAGGGUGAUCGGCCACAUUGGAACUGAGACACGGUCCAAACUCCUACGGGAGGCAGCAGUGGGGAAUAUUGCACAAUGGGCGAAAGCCUGAUGCAGCAACGCCGCGUGAGUGAUGAA